rnacentral:tRNA from 1 species
GUGCCCGUAGCUCAGUUGGAUAGAGCAACGGCCUUCUAAGCCGUCGGUCGGGGGUUCGAAUCCCUUCGGGUACG